rnacentral:rRNA from 1 species
CCUACGGGCGGCUGCAGUGAGGAAUAUUGGUCAAUGGGCGCGAGCCUGAACCAGCCACGUAGCGUGAAGGAUGACUGCCCUACGGGUUUUAAACUUCUUUUAUAAAGGAAUAAAGUCAUGCACGUGUGCCUUUUUGUAUGUACUUUAUGAAUAAGGAUCGGCUAACUUCGUGCCAGCAGCCGCGGUAAUACGGAGGAUCCGAGCGUUAUCCGGAUUUAUUGGGUUUAAAGGGAGCGUAGGUUGGUUGUUAAGUCAGUUGUGAAAGUUUGCGGCUCAACCGUAAAAUUGCAAUUGAUACUGGCAGACUUGAGUACAGUUGAGGUAGGCGGAAUUCGUGGUGUAGCGGUGAAAUGCUUAGAUAUCACGAAGAACUCCGAUUGCGAAGGCAGCCUACUAAACUGCCACUGACAUUGAUGCGCGAAAGUGUGGGUAUCAAACAGGAUUAGAUACCCUAGUAGUC